GAUGAACGCUGGCGGCGUGCCUAAUACAUGCAAGUCGAGCGAACAGACGAGGAGCUUGCUCCUCUGACGUUAGCGGCGGACGGGUGAGUAACACGUGGAUAACCUACCUAUAAGACUGGGAUAACUUCGGGAAACCGGAGCUAAUACCGGAUAAUAUAUUGAACCGCAUGGUUCAAUAGUGAAAGACGGUUUUGCUGUCACUUAUAGAUGGAUCCGCGCCGCAUUAGCUAGUUGGUAAGGUAACGGCUUACCAAGGCAACGAUGCGUAGCCGACCUGAGAGGGUGAAACGGCACACUGGGAAUGGAACCCGGGCCCAAACCCCAAGGGAGGGAGGAGGGGGGAAUUUUGGCCAAAGGGGGAAAGCCUGACGGAGGCACGCCGCGGGGGGGAAGAAGGGUUUCGGAAUUGAAAAACCUUUUUGUUGGGAGAAAAAAAAGUUUGAAGAAACUUUGCCCGUUUUAGGGUAACAUAAUAAAAAGCCCCGGGCAACUUAGGG
rnacentral:rRNA from 1 species